rnacentral:lncRNA from 1 species
UCAGAGAUUGAUUUAUGAAUUAUUGAUUAUGUAAUUAGAGUACUGAGUGAUUGAAUUAUAUGAGAAGUUAUUGGAAGAUUGAUUGUGGAUGGAAGAUUAUGAUUGUUGUUUAUUGAGAGUUGUAUGUGUUUUGACAAAGGAAGUCUGUGAUUACAAAAAUUAUGUGAAUUCAGAUUGUUGGAGUGAAGUCUCUUAUUACUAGUGUUGGAUGGAAAUUAUGUCUUUUGAGAGUGCAGAGUUGCACAUUAUUGUUAUCAGUUGAUGAAGGAAUAUUGUUAUUGGGAGAAAGCAUCGUAAUAUUUCUUGGUGUUUAAGUGGUUCGUAUUACGGUUAAUUGAGUGACCCUAACAUGUAAGCUCAUGCGCUUAGUCUUUCCUU